rnacentral:rRNA from 1 species
GACGAACGCUGGCGGCGUGCUUAACACAUGCAAGUCGAACGAAGUGGCGAACGGGUGAGUAACGCGUAAUCAACCUGCCCUUCAGAGGGGGACAACAGUUGGAAACGACUGCUAAUACCGCAUACUGAAGGUGGGGAUUGCGUUGGGUUAGCUAGUUGGGGGGGUAACGGCCCAACAAGGCGAUGAGCAGUAGCCGGGCUGGGAGGGAGGACCGCUACAUCUGGAACGGAAAAAGGGCCAAGCUCCUAAGGGAGGCAACAGUGGGGGAUCUUUCGCAAUGGGCGGAAGUCUGACGGAGCAACGGCGCGUGGGGGAAAACAGCCUUCGGGUUGUAAAGCCCUGUUAAGCGGGGAGCGGUACCGAAAUAGAAAGCAACGGCUAACUACGUGCCAGCAGCCGCGGUAAUAC